GGGAGCAGAUAGGCGCCUGGUGGGCCUCUCGGUCUUCAAAACCGUUGUGACGUGAACGCGUCAGGUGGGUUCGAUUCCCAUGUGCUCCCGCCA
rnacentral:tRNA from 1 species